ACGGAGGAUCCAAGCGUUAUCCGGAAUCAUUGGGUUUAAAGGGUCCGUAGGCGGGUUAAUAAGUCAGUGGUGAAAGCCCUACGCUCAACGUAGGAACGGCCAUUGAUACUGUUAGUCUUGAAUUAUUAGGAAGUAACUAGAAUAUGUAGUGUAGCGGUGAAAUGCUUAGAGAUUACAUGGAAUACCAAUUGCGAAGGCAGGUUACUACUAAUGGAUUGACGCUGAUGGACGAAAGCGUGGGUAGCGAACAGGAUUAGAUACCCUGGUAGUCCACGCCGUAAACGAUGGAUACUAGCUGUUCGGAGCAAUCUGAGUGGCUAAGCGAAAGUGAUAAGUAUCCCACCUGGGGAGUACGUUCGCAAGAAUG
rnacentral:rRNA from 1 species